rnacentral:rRNA from 1 species
AUUGAACGCUGGCGGCAGGCCUAACACAUGCAAGUCGAACGGUAACAGGAAGCAGCUUGCUGCUUCGCUGACGAGUGGCGGACGGGUGAGUAAUGUCUGGGAAACUGCCUGAUGGAGGGGGAUAACUACUGGAAACGGUAGCUAAUACCGCAUAACGUCGCAAGACCAAAGAGGGGGACCUUAGGGCCUCUUGCCAUCGGAUGUGCCCAGAUGGGAUUAGCUAGUAGGUGGGGUAACGGCUCACCUAGGCGACGAUCCCUAGCUGGACUGAGAGGAUGACCAGCCACACUGGAACUGAGACACGGUCCAGACUCCUACGGGAGGCAGCAGUGGGGAAUAUUGCACAAUGGGCGCAAGCCUGAUGCAGCCAUGCCGCGUGUAUGAAGAAGGCCUUCGGGUUGUAAAGUACUUUCAGCGGGGAGGAAGGGAGUAAAGUUAAUACCUUUGCUCAUUGACGUUACCCGCAGAAGAAGCACCGGCUAACUCCGUG